rnacentral:rRNA from 1 species
UUUUAUUUGAGAGUUUGAUCCUGGCUCAGGAUGAACGCUGGCGGCGUGCCUAACACAUGCAAGUUGAGCGAUUUACUUCGGUAAAGAGCGGCGGACGGGGGAGUAACGCGUGGGUAACCUACCCUGUACACACGGAUAACAUACCGAAAGGUAUGCUAAUACGGGAUAAUAUAUUUGAGAGGCAUCUCUUGAAUAUCAAAGGUGAGCCAGUACAGGAUGGACCCGCGUCUGAUUAGCUAGUUGGUAAGGUAACGGCUUAC